rnacentral:rRNA from 1 species
GACGAACGCUGGCGGCGUGCUUAACACAUGCAAGUCGAACGGAAAGGCCCUGCUUUUGUGGGGUGCUCGAGUGGCGAACGGGUGAGUAACACGUGAGUAACCUGCCUUUGACUUUGGGAUAACUUCAGGAAACUGGGGCUAAUACCGGAUAGGAGCUCCUGCUGCAUGGGGGGGGUGAGAAAGUUUCGGCGGUUGGGGAUGGACUCGCGGCUUAUCAGCUGGUUGGUGGGGUAGUGGCUAACCAAGGCUUUGACGGGUAGCCGGCCUGCGAGGGUGACCGGCCACAUUGGGACUGCGAUAAGGCCCAAACUCCUACGGAAGGCAGCGGUGGGGAAUUUUGCACACUGGGCGGAAGCCUGAUGCGGCAACGCCGCGUGCGGGAUGACGGCCUUCGGUUUGUAAACCGCUUUCGCCUGUGACGAAGCGUGAGUGACGGUAAUGGGUAAAGAAGCACCGGCUAACUACGUG